rnacentral:lncRNA from 1 species
GGGAAGAAGACGGGAAACUGGGGAGAUAGACUAGAGAAGGAUGAGUAAGAGUAACUGGUAUGGGUCCGAGGAAGAAACAUGUUCUAUUGGGGUUGUAUUUGCCCUGACAGAGAACCCAUGCAGAAUGUGAAAUGUCUGCUUCCUUUCUCCCCCUCUCCUUCUGUCUCUGCAAGCAGAUAUUAAACCCAAAGUUUUCCUGUUCUUUAAAGACAUAGAGAUAUGGAUAUAGUUUUUGUUUAAUUAGACUGCUUUCUGGCUAAUUAAACUCUGAUCGUGACCGUUUCUAAACUUUGGGCAUCUCUGUUGUGAGAGCCCAGAGAAAAAGGAAGCGAUGAUGGCCACAUACAUAGCUGGAAGUCAAACAGACAGAAGUUUGGGUCCUCGUCUAAAUACUCUACAUCCGAUCUUUUUUAAAGUAUUUUUGUAAGGCGGCUUGUCUGGGUGUUCCCAGAUUGCCCAUCAGGUAAGCCCUGUAGCUGCCUUUAACUAGCUGCUUAGCCUAAAUGGAGACUGUAUCUUUAAAACUGGCCAGAAUGAGGCAGAGAACCGCAGAGCAGGAACCGGUGAGAGGGGGAGGACUUCUUUACCCUCGUUCUGAGAACUGAACCUGGAUCCAUAGGUUUCUGGUCUCUGUUGUUUUCCUUUCUCAGUUUCAGGUGCCAGUGGUGAUCUUCAUUGGACCGACCGGAGCUGAGAGUUCAAGCCACGGCAAGUUUGGAGCUAGAAUUCCAGGAAGGACCUUGCAGCCAGCCUGUCAACCUGCCAGUCAGGGAAACCUGAAGAAACCACAGUGCCCAGAACUCAAGCCUAGGGGAGGUUUCAGAGUUGGAAUUGCGACUGUCCUCUAUAGAAACGGAGCUAAGAAUUGGAGUACAAGAAACCCUUUGAAGGAAUCUUUGAAGAGGGAGGGCUGGAGCCAUUUGUAG